rnacentral:rRNA from 1 species
CACGGGGGGAGCAAGCGUUGUUCGGAAUCACUGGGCGUAAAGGGUGCGUAGGCGGCGCGGUAAGUCGGAUGUGAAAACUCUGGGCUCAACCCAGAGCCUGCAUCCGAAACUGGAGUGCUAGAGUUCUGGAGGGGGUAGCGGAAUUCCUGGUGUAGCGGUGAAAUGCGUAGAUAUCAGGAGGAACACCGGUGGCGAAGGCGGCUACCUGGACAGAAACUGACGCUGAGGCGCGAAAGCUAGGGGAGCAAACAGG